UUUAAGUACAACAAUGAGUUUUCACGUUCAAUUUUGAUCGCCUGUCUUCUUUGAAAUUUUUUUAUAAGUAGUAUUUUUGUUGUUUUAAGAUAAUAAAACAUGAAAAGUACUUUACUCGUGACUUAUGAUUUUUAUUUUUUUUAAAAAAAAAUUAAAUAAGAUGGAUGAUUAAAAUUGGACGCGGAAAACCAUGGCUGCGGUUAAA
rfam:Oryza meridionalis cultivar OR44 (W2112) chromosome 7, whole genome shotgun sequence.